rnacentral:misc_RNA from 1 species
GAAUACUUAAUUAUAGGAUUCUUUAUAUAUAAAUACUUUGUAUUUCAUUCAACAAAAUAUACAAAAAAUAUUCACUUCAAUAUGGAAAAGGCCACCAUCAAUAAAAGAAAUAAGCAUUACACUUACAAGCAUCGAAUCAUGUCUCCUCAAACGCUAUCCUUUUACAUUGGUCUUCCAUGGAAGAAACAUAAUCCUGAAUGUGUAUAUCUCUUCUUAAUGAUUAUAGGCAGGUGCUCU